rnacentral:rRNA from 1 species
GCCUACGGGGCGCAGCAGUCGAGAAUCAUUCACAAUGGGGGAAACCCUGAUGGUGCGACGCCGCGUGGGGGAAUGAAGGUCUUCGGAUUGUAAACCCCUGUCAUGUGGGAGCAAAUUAAAAAGAUAGUACCACAAGAGGAAGAGACGGCUAACUCUGUGCCAGCAGCCGCGGUAAUACAGAGGACUCACGCGUUGUUCGGAAUCACUGGGCGUAAAGCGUGCGUAGGCUGUUUCGUGAGUCGUGUGUGAAAGUCGCGGGCUCAACCCGCGGACGGCACAUUAUACUGCGAGACUAGAGUAAUGCG